rnacentral:rRNA from 1 species
UACAGAGGGUGCGAGCGUUAAUCGGAAUUACUGGGCGUAAAGCGUGCGCAGGCGGUUGUGCAAGACAGAUGUGAAAUCCCCGGGCUUAACCUGGGAACUGCAUUUGUGACUGCACAGCUAGAGUGUGUCAGAGGGGGGUAGAAUUCCACGUGUAGCAGUGAAAUGCGUAGAUAUGUGGAGGAAUACCGAUGGCGAAGGCAGCCCCCUGGGACUAACACUGACGCUCAUGCACGAAAGCGUGGGGAGCAAACAGG